UACGGGAGGCAGCAGUGGGGAAUAUUGCACAAUGGGCGCAAGCCUGAUGCAGCCAUGCCGCGUGUAUGAAAAAGGCCUUCGGGUUGUAAAGUACUUUCAGUCGUGAGGAAGGUGUUAAGGUUAAUAACCUUAGCAAUUGACGUUAGCGACAGAAGAAGCACCGGCUAACUCCGUGCCAGCAGCCGCGGUAAUACGGAGGGUGCGAGCGUUAAUCAGAAUUACUGGGCGUAAAGGGCACGCAGGCGGUUAAUUAAGUUGGAUGUGAAAUCCCCGGGCUUAACCUGGGAAUGGCAUUCAAGACUGGUUAGCUAGAGUCUUGUAGAGGGGGUAGAAUUCCAUGUGUAGCGGUGAAAUGCGUAGAGAUGUGGAGGAAUACCGGUGGCGAAGGCGGCCCCGUGGACAAAGGACUGACGCUCAUGUGCGAAGCGUGGGGAGGCAACAGGGAUUAGAUACC
rnacentral:rRNA from 1 species